rnacentral:rRNA from 1 species
UACGUAGGGGGCAAGCGUUGUCCGGAAUCAUUGGGCGUAAAGCGCGCGUAGGCGGCUAGAUCAGUCUGCUGUAAAAGUCAAAGGCUCAACCUUUGAAAGCCGGUGGAUACUGUCUAGCUAGAGUCCGGAAGAGGCGAGUGGAACUCCUAGUGUAGAGGUGGAAUUCGUAGAUAUUAGGAAGAACACCAGUGGCGAAGGCGGCUCACUGGUCCGGUACUGACGCUGAGGUGCGAAAGCGUGGGGAGCAAACAGG